CUAAUACAUGCAAGUCGAGCGCGGGAAGCAAGCCGAUCCCUUCGGGGUGACGCUUGUGGAACGAGCGGCGGACGGGUGAGUAACACGUGGGCAACCUGCCUGUAAGACUGGGAUAACUCCGGGAAACCGGGGCUAAUACCGGAUAGAGUUUUCUCUCGCAUGAGAGGAAACGGAAAGGCGGCUUCGGCUGUCACUUACAGAUGGGCCCGCGGCGCAUUAGCUAGUUGGUGGGGUAACGGCUCACCAAGGCGACGAUGCGUAGCCGACCUGAGAGGGUGAUCGGCCACACUGGGACUGAGACACGGCCCAGACUCCUACGGGAGGCAGCAGUAGGGAAUCUUCCGCAAUGGACGAAAGUCUGACGGAGCAACGCCGCGUGAACGAAGAAGGUUUUCGGAUCGUAAAGUUCUGUUGUUAGGGAAGAACAAGUACCGUUUGAAUAAGGCGGUACCUUGACGGUACCUAUCGAGAAAGCCCCGGCUAACUACGUGCCAGCAGCCGCGGUAAUACGUAGGGGGCAAGCGUUGUCCGGAUUUAUUGGGCGUAAAGCGCGCGUAGGCGGUUUCUUAAGUCUGAUGUGAAAUCUUGCGGCUCAACCGCAAGCGGUCAUUGGAAACUGGGGAACUUGAGUGCAGAAGAGGAGAGUGGAAUUCCACGUGUAGCGGUGAAAUGCGUAGAGAUGUGGAGGAACACCAGUGGCGAAGGCGG
rnacentral:rRNA from 1 species